rnacentral:rRNA from 1 species
UGGGGAAUAUUGGACAAUGGGCGAAAGCCUGAUCCAGCCAUGCCGCGUGUGUGAAGAAGGUCUUCGGAUUGUAAAGCACUUUAAGUUGGGAGGAAGGGCAUUAACCUAAUACGUUAGUGUUUUGACGUUACCGACAGAAUAAGCACCGGCUAACUCUGUGCCAGCAGCCGCGGUAAUACAGAGGGUGCAAGCGUUAAUCGGAAUUACUGGGCGUAAAGCGCGCGUAGGUGGUUUGUUAAGUUGGAUGUGAAAUCCCCGGGCUCAACCUGGGAACUGCAUUCAAAACUGACUGACUAGAGUAUGGUAGAGGGUGGUGGAAUUUCCUGUGUAGCGGUGAUAUGCGUAGAUAUAGGAAGGAACACCAGUGGCGAAGGCGACCACCUGGACUAAUACUGACACUGAGGUGCGAAAGCGUGGGGAGCAAACA